CAUUCUCUCAAACUCACGUACUCUCUCUUUUCAGUAUAAUAAAUAUAUAAAAGUCAUUUGUUUCACUUGUAUUUCACAACACGUUAUCAGCACGACGAACUCUCUUAUACCGACCGUUCUUAGACCAAACAAGCGAGAAAAUGAAUCGAUGAAAAGAAAAUGCUCUCUGCAAAACAGAACGAUGAUUGAAUUCAAGAUCUACCAACAACUCUCAUUCUCCGAUUUCUAUACGUUCAGAAAUAUUUGCAUGUCGAAUAUGAAGCCAUCUGUGAUAAAAACGAUGAGUCCGAGAUGGUUGUCAAUUGUACCUGUUCCGAUCAAUUCAAUGAAGUCGUAAGAGGCACAGGAAGAUAACAAAAGUUAAAUCUAAGUUGAUGUCUUUGUGUUAAAUAAUUAAGGAUUUCUUCAACUGUACACAGAUAAGUCUCCCACUAUAGCUUUUUUAUUAUACGUGAGACUGUUAAUCUCAUCUCCUUUAGAGUUAGUGAGUUGACUUAAUUAUGUAUACAAUUCAUGUGCAGGUGCGUGCAGUUAAAAAUUUAGAGACAGAGCUUUAUUCAUCUGAAGAAAAUGGGACAGGGACUUAGUAGAUGCAAGUCAAGAACAGGAUCACCUCCAGCUUUUUACGUUGCUUCCCCAAGUACGCUGAAUGGACGCUGAAUGGUAUUGCCUCAACACAAUCCAAAACUUUGCCCAGCACAUCUGACAAAAUAAAACAUGGUAAAGGGUGUAAGGUUUGAUUAUGAAGAUGAUUUUGAUGGGCUGAACAUCCUUUUAACAUGCAUGGACUUAUUUGGAAAUGGGCCUAACUUGUUCGGUUGUAAAUUAGUUAGAUUAUGGAUAAGUCAUAAAAACAAAAGAAUUAUGAUUGGUCUAAAAUCGGGAUCGACAUUUAUUUCUUAAAAAAAAAAGGUAAUGGCAUUUGGUGGUAAAUAACUCAAAAAGGUAGUGGCAAAAAGCUAUUAGGUAUUUUACUUCAAUAGUAUAGAUGGACAUAACAAUUGUGAUGACAUCAAACUUUAGCUUAUAACUAAAACAAGAAAACAAAUCCAAACAAUUAUCAUAUCAGAUCAAUCCUCAGAAAAAACCUUCUUCCUUACACAAAUUCUCUGUCCAUAACUUCUCAUUUCAUACCUUAUCUACCUAGAACUCCUCUUUUUACACCUCAUCCAUCCACACCUCCUCUUUUCUGCUAUAUCUCACGUAUACAAAUCUCCUGUCCAGAGCUCCUCCUUUCAUACCUCAUCCAUCCACAACUCUUCUUCUCACACCCGUCCGUCCAUCCAUAACUCCCAUGUCCACAACCACAACAUCAUCAGACAAUCAUCCUUCAUCCUUCGAGCCCUUAUCCACCCCCAAUCAACUCCACUGUAGCUUUUAGUUUCGCUGACAAAAACCCUAGAAAUCGUACUCAUCCACCAUAGUCACCAGCCAAGAAAAACUCCAGCUAUCCACACAACCCAUUCACACGCUAUCCGUCCACAUCUUUUACAUAUCUGGAUUUUGAAAUCGGAUUUUGCAUAUCUGGAUUUUGAAAUCCACAACAGCACUAAAAACCAACAAAACAAAAACGAGAAUUGAUUUAAAUAAUUUUGAAAUCAAACUCAUAACAACAAAAAGAUCCUAAUUUCCAACAGAGAAUGUCAUCUAUGCUAAAAUGGAUAAGACUUAGGUUCACCCCCUAUGGUGAACCUUUAAAUUCACCACUCCCCUUAAAUCCAAUCAAAAAUGCCAUGUAGAUAAUUAAAUAAAAAUAUUAAAUUAUUAAAAAAAAUAGUUAAAAAGAAAAAUAAAGUCAAUUUUAAUGAUGCAAACUAAACCCUAAACCCUAAAUCAUAAAUUCUAAACCCAAAUAUAUACCCUAAACCCAAAAUUUAUACCUUAAACCCAAACCAUAUACCCUAAACUCAAAUUCUAAACUUUAAACCCAAACCAUAAACCUUAAAUACAAACCCUAUACUCUAAAUCGAUCAUAUAUCCUAUACCCUAAACCCAAAUCCUAUACCCUAAACUCAAAACGUAUAUCUUAAACCUAAAUUCUACACUUUAAACCCAAACCCUAAACUUAAGAAUUUGGCUUUAGGAUUUACGAUUUGGGUUUAGGGAAUAAGAUUUGGGUUUAGGGUAUAUGGUUUGGGUUUAGGGUAUAUAGUUUGGGUUUAGGGUAUAGGAUUUGGGUUUAGAGUAUAGGAUAUAGAAUGGGUUUAGGGUAUAGCGUUUGGAUUUAGGGUUUAGAAUUUGAGUUUUGGAUAUAUGGUUUGGGUUUAGGGUAUAAGAUUUGGGUUUAGGGUAUAGGUUUUGCUUUAGAAUUUAAAUUUAGGGUUUAGUAUUUAGUUAACGUUAUUAAAAUUAACGUUAUUUCCUUUUUAAACUAUUUUCUUAUAAUUUAAUAUUUUUUAUUUAAUUAUCUACAU